rnacentral:lncRNA from 1 species
GCCACCCCAGCACCCUCGCAGUGCUCCCAGCGCCCGCGGGGGCUCCUUCACUGUUGCAGCUGCCUGUGGGUGCCCUACCCGGCGCCAGGAAUCCGCAGGGUUGGCAGAUGGAUCGCUGCACCGGCCCUCGGGCUGAGGAACAGUGAGGCUGGGCACGGGGUGAGGAAAGCUCACUUCUACCCGCAGCCCUGCGCUGUGCCCAGCAGCACCCACCAGCGCCCGGUGCUUCCUGUUCAGCCGUGGGCCCGGGGGUGUCUCCUUGGCACUGGCCCGUCCCCCACACGGAGAGAAGCAGUUCGGGGACUGGAUUUUAGGGGGUUGCUGUGCCUUACUGGCUCCUUCCCACUUUGCGGGGGGACGUUGCCCUUCCUAGCAAUGAGGAAUCCGCUCACGGGGACACUGCCCUUCCUAGCAGUGAGGAAUCCACUCACGGGGGUACACUGCCCUUCCUAGCAGUGAGGAAUCCACUCACGGGGGGACGCUGCCCUUCCUAGCAGUGAGGAAUCUGCUCACGGGGACACUGCCCUUCCUAGCAGUGAGGAAUCCACUCACGGGGGCGACGCUGCCCUUCCUAGCAGUGAGGAAUCCACUCACGGGGGGACGCUGCCCUUCCUAGCAGUGAGGAAUCUGCUCACGGGGACACUGCCCUUCCUAGCAGUGAGGAAUCCACUCACGGGGACUCUUCCCUUCCUAGCAGUGAGGAGUCCGCUCCUUAGGACCGUCCACGGGAGCCGAGCUCGGGGCGCCUCGCCAGCCCUUCUCGUGUGCGCACUUGGCCAGUGCGUCUCCUUUCGGAGCCCGGCUCCAGCCAGCGCGCCUCACGGGGGCUGAACACCGCUCUGAGCACACCCGCCUGUGCAGGGCCACGUGUCGUUCCUCUGGCCUCACCUGCAACCCCUUGGGGCAUGGACCUCAUCUCCUGCGACUUCACAGUGACGCUCGCCCUCCGGAGACUCACCCUGGGCUCCCAGCGUUGCGCCCACCACCACCCUCCGCGCAUCCUGCACCAGCGACUGUGCUUCCGUGGUUUUCUUUCUCCAGCCGCUCGGCCACAGCCGGCUUCCUGCGUCUGCCCCUCAGUGUUGGGCUCCUCGGCCACUGCCCCAGCUCUCGCCCGGGCAGUUUCCUCCAUUCUCCUGCUCUCUGACACCCAGGAUUUUAUUUCCAGCCCAGAGCUGUUCUGAGUCGCUGAUGACAAGUUGAGCUGCCUCCUGGGCUGUUGUAAAGGCACUUCAAAGCCACACUUUCAAAAGGAAAUUACCACACCCAGUAAAUGUGAUCCAGGCCCAAACCUGGGCCUCGUCCUUGACACCUCUCUUUCUCCCACCCCAGCCCAAUCCGAGGGUUCACGUCCAUCCGCCUCUCCCUCCCUCCUGCCACUGCCCAGGCCGCCCUCACCCUGACCUGGGCUACAGCAUUAGCCACCUCCCAGCUGGUGGCCUGGCCUCCAGUCUUGCCCCACCUCCAGCCUUUUGUCGUGCUUCAGCUGAGUGACCUUCUAAAGGCAGCAAGGAGGAUACAAGAUCAAUAUACAGAAAUCAACUGUAUUUCUUUUGUUUUUUUUGAGGAAGAUUAGCCCUGAGCCAACAUCUGCCACCAAUCCUCCUCUUUUUGCUGAGGAAGACUGGCCCUGAGCUAACAUCUGUGCCCAUCUUCCUUUACUUUAUAUGGGACGCCUGCCACAGCAUGUCUUGCCAAGCGGUGCCAUGUCUACACCCGGGAUCCAAACCGGCGAACCCUGGGUCGCCGAAGCAGAACGUGUGCACGUAACUGAUGUGCCACUGGGCCGGCCCCCACUCAACCGUAUUUCUUUACACCUGCAAUGAACAAUCCAAAAAUGAAAUUAAAACAAUUCCAUUUACAACAGCAUCAAAAAGAAUAAAAUACUUAGGAAUAAAUUUAUCAGAAGAAGUGCAAAACUUAUUCUCUGAAAACUGAAACAUUGAAAGAAAUUGAAGAAGAUCUAAAUAAAUGAAAAGCCAUCCCAUAUUUAUGGAUCAGAAGACAAUAUUGUUAAGGUAAUAAUAUUCCCCAAAUUGAUCUACAAAUUCAGUGCAGUCCCUACCAAAAUCCCAGCUGGCUUCUUUGCAAAAAUUCACAAGCUGAUCCUAAAAUUCAUAUGCGAUGCAAGGGAUCCAGAGUAGCCAAAACAAUCUGGAAAAAGAAGAACAAAGCUGAUGGGCUCACACUUGUCAAUUUCAAAACUUACUACAAAGCUGUGGUAAUCAAGAGAGUGUGGUCCUGGCCUAAGUGUAGAUGUAGGGAUCAGUGAAAUAGAAUUGAAAGUCCAAAAAUAAACCCAUACGUUUAUGGUCAAUUGGGUUUUCAGCAAGGGUGCCAAAACACUUCAGCUGGGAAAGAAUUGUCUUUUGUUUCAACCAAUGGUGCUGGGGCGACCAGACAUCCAACAUGCAGAAAGCAAAUUUGUAGCCCUGCCUCACAUCACACACAAGCAUUACCUCAAAAUGGAUCGUACACCUCAAACUAGAACUCCUAGAAGAAAACAUAGGGAUCAAUCAUACAAGUGACCUUGUAUUAGACAGUGGUUUCUUAGAUAUGACACCAAAGCAUGGCAACCGAAGAAAAAAAUAGGUAAACUGGAUUUGACCGAAGUUCACAUUUAAUGUACUUCAAAAGAAGUGAAAAGACAACCCAAAUAUUUGCAAAUCAUAUAUCUGACAAGGGUCUUGUUUCCA